AGCGGGAUUGUUUCUUUUGCUUGCAUUUGAAACAUGAGAGCGGCGAAAGGGAGAGUAACACGUAGAUACGUACCCAGGGGUUCGGGAUAGCGGCGGGAAACUGCCGGUAAUACCGAAUAAUGUCUCCGGACCAAAGAUUUAUUGCCCGUGGAGCGGUCUGCGUCCUAUUAGCUUGUUGGUGAGGUAACGGCUCACCAAGGCGAUGAUGGGUAGCGGGUGUGAGAGCAUGGCCCGUCUCACUGGGACUGAGAUACUGCCCAGACACCUACGGGUGGCUGCAGUCGAGAAUCUUCCGCAAUGGACGAAAGUCUGACGGAGCGACGCCGCGUGCGGGAUGAAGGCCUUCGGGUUGUAAACCGCUGUCGCAGGGGAGGAAAUUUUGACCGAUCCUGGGAGGAAGCACAGGCUAAGUUCGUGCCAGCAGCCGCGGUAAUACGAACUGUGCGAACGUUAUUCGGAAUCACCGGGCUUAAAGGGUGCGUAGGCGGCUAUAAAGGUCAGGUGUGAAAUCCCACGGCUCAACCGUGGAACUGCGCUUGAAACCGUAUAGCUUGAGGGAGUCAGAGGUAAGCGGAACUGAUGGUGGGAGCGGUGAAAUGCGUUGAUAUUAUCAGGAACACCGGUGGCGAAAGCGGCUUACUGGGACUUUUCUGACGCUGAGGCACGAAAGCCAGG
rnacentral:rRNA from 1 species